CCCGGGCCGCCGUGUUCCCGUGCAGGCGGAAAUAUCGCGAGAACAAAAGUGACUAUACCAGUGAACAUGUCAAAAAGGAGGGACGUAGAGUUCUCGCGAUACUGCUUGUGUGACGAAGCGCUUCGCUAUUCCAGGGGCGUGGUCAAGGUGAAAGGGGCGUGUCUACGCUGAACGGAAGAUGGAAGGUGUCUCAGUUACGGCUGCGUGGGCGCUCCGAAGCAGCUUCCGUUGUGGAGGGGACGAGUGUCCGCUCGGAAGAUCGAUCACCUGUGGUGAGAGCUGGGGCGCUGACAGGGUCGCCAGCACCGCACUCCUUCCUUCUCCGCAGUUUUGCACCCGGUCUCUGCGUCCCUGUUUCCCAGGUUAAGAGCACUUACACUUCUUUCCAGUGUAGGCGACUCUUUCAAGUGUGCCUCAGUCUGUCAUGUUUCCUGCCCCGGAAGCUCGCUUUCCUCUGCAAGGCCUUUGCACCAUGCUCUUUCUGCCUUGGAGCCAGCUGACCAUGGACUGAAUCUCCUGACUUGUGAGCCAAAUUAAACCUCUCCUCCGUUCAUUGUGAGUGUUGGGUAUUGUGUCCAGCAAUAGGAAAGCUGACCGAUACACUUAAAAACAGAAAAGACAUACAUAUUAACAGGGGGACCAUGUAAUAUGUUUAAAUCAGGUUAACAUACUGAUCUUCUCAAACUUUUGACAUUUCUUUAUGGCGAAAGGUUUUUUUUUGGUACCAGGGAUCAAACUCAGUGUGCUUGUGAGGCGGGCAUGGUGCCACUGAGCUAAAUCCCUGGCCUUAUGGUGAAAGCUUUUAAAACCUGUUCUUCUAGGUUUUUGAAGUGUAUUUAUUGUAUGUUACUGUUAUCUGUAGUCACCAUGAAUACUGUAAAGAAUACACCACAGCUUGCUGCUUCCGUCUAAGUGCAGUGUGGUGCCCACCACUCAGUCUUCCCCUGCUACCAACUCUUCCAGCCUCAGUUAAAUGCUGCUCUGCUCUCAGCUUCUAUGAGAUCAACUUUUUUAAAAAAUUAAACUCAUAAAAAUAUUUUUAGUUAAACAUUACAAAUACAAAGUAAAAGUCAG
rnacentral:lncRNA from 1 species